rnacentral:rRNA from 1 species
AGUGAACGUUGGCGGUAGGCCUAACACAUGCAAGUCGAACGGCAGCACAGUAAGAGCUUGCUCUUACGGGUGGCGAGUGGCGGACGGGUGAGGAAUACAUCGGAAUCUACUUUUUCGUGGGGGAUAACGUAGGGAAACUUACGCUAAUACCGCAUACGACCUACGGGUGAAAGCAGGGGAUCUUCGGACCUUGCGCGAUUGAAUGAGCCGAUGUCGGAUUAGCUAGUUGGCAGGGUAAAGGCCCACCAAGGCGACGAUCCGUAGCUGGUCUGAGAGGAUGAUCAGCCACACUGGAACUGAGACACGGUCCAGACUCCUACGGGAGGCAGCAGUGGGGAAUAUUGGACAAUGGGCGCAAGCCUGAUCCAGCCAUACCGCGUGGGUGAAGAAGGCCUUCGGGUUGUAAAGCCCUUUUGUUGGGAAAGAAAAGCAGCAGGUUAAUACCCCGCUGUUCUGACGGUACCCAAAGAAUAAGCACCGGCUAACUUCGUG